rnacentral:tRNA from 1 species
GCCCACUGUGGCUUAGCUGGAUAGAGCGUCUGCCAUGUAAGCAGGAGAUCCUGGGUUCGAGUCCCGGUAGGGGCA